UACAGAGGUCUCAAGCGUUGUUCGGAUUCAUUGGGCGUAAAGGGUGCGUAGGCGGCGCGGUAAGUCGGGUGUGAAAUCUUGGAGCUUAACUCCGAAACUGCAUUCGAUACUGCCGUGCUUGAGGACUGGAGAGGAGACUGGAAUUUACGGUGUAGCGGUGAAAUGCGUAGAUAUCUGGAGGAAUACCGGUGGCGAAGGCGGCAUCCUGGACCAUUACUGACGCUGAGGCGCGAAAGCUAGGGGAGCAAACGGG
rnacentral:rRNA from 1 species